rnacentral:lncRNA from 1 species
GCACAGAUAUUAUGACACUCUUAGCUUAUUACAUCUACAUUUCCAUUUGGCUGAGUUUGGACAUUAUCCAGAAAUUCAAUAAAUCUCCCAACAUGAAUCAUUUUGCAUAAAAUUAACGUAGACAUGUCAAAAGAAUAAAGUGUCAUACGGAAAAUAAAAAUGAACUUUUAAGUAUAAAGUUAGCUACUUUCUUUUAUAGAUUUAUAGAAACUUUUACAUCAUCCUUAAUAAAUUCUUUUAAUUGUGUUAGAUUUUGUUAAUACCUACUGACAGGUGGUUGAUACAUGUCUACUUCUCAAUUAAAAAAAAUCUCCAAAGUUUGAAUCUUAUACCUGCAAAAAAAAGUGGGAGAUGAUUAUAUCACUAUAUUGUAAAUGUUUUUGGCUUGAAACCUCUUGAGCGUUCCAGCGGUGGCCUGUGACAAAAGCACCGUCCAUAAAUAUUGGUGCUGCUAGGAGCGAGAAUUUUUGUUUAUUAAUAGAGAAUCGUUUAGCAAUUAGAGCAUGAUCCUUAUCUCCUUCAAGCCCUUAAAAAAAAUAGAAAAACUAAAGAAAGAGAAAGAGGCAGAUAAAUCAAUCAAGUAGAGAGAAUGAAACAGAAAGAAACUGGAAUGAUUAUAUUUUCUUCAGAUUUAUAAAGAGUGGUCUUCAUAUCAAAACUCUAACUUUGGAUUUAAAAAGUAGCAAAACAAUAUGUAGAAAUGAGCUUCCUUUGUUGCCUUUACUUCCACGACUUCUUAUGCCUUCUAAGUUGUUAGUUUGGUGUAGGUAUUGGAUGCACUAUGGCAUAAUGGGGAAGGUGAAUCAGCUGUGUAAGAUGAGGAGUGAGAAAUUUAUGAGGUGUGGCCGUGUCGUGUGAGAUGAAUUUGAAAUAUGUGAGGUUACAGUGUUGGAUGAGUGAGUGAGGAGUGAAAUGGAAGGUAGAAGGUUAAAUGGAAGUGAGAUGGGUU